rnacentral:rRNA from 1 species
GGUAGGGUAAAGGCCUACCAAGGCCACGAUCGGUAGCUGGUCUGAGAGGAUGAUCAGCCACACUGGGACUGAGACACGGCCCAGACUCCUACGGGAGGCAGCAGUGGGGAAUAUUGGACAAUGGGCGCAAGCCUGAUCCAGCAAUGCCGCGUGUGUGAAGAAGGCCUGCGGGUUGUAAAGCACUUUCAGGGGGGAAGAAAGGGCCGGGGUUAAUACCCCUGGCUUCUGACGUUACCCCCAGAAGAAGCACCGGCUAACUCCGUG